GUUUACCGAGAGUGUAUUGAGAUGUUUCUUUGCCUUGAUUGGCCUUUGACAUUCGUUUCCUAUCGCUUAAUAACUGCGGCAUUAAAGUUAGUAUGAAGAUAGGAGGCUUUCUAGGGAUGCGAUCUCAAGAAAGAUGUCCAGCCUCCAGGCGCCACUUGAAGAAAAAUGACUUGGCUGAGCACCACCAGCUAAGAGGGGAAUUAUGAAAGGUGGAGGGUAGAGAUGUCUCAGAGUAGGGAGUCCCAGGAGCACGUGAGAACUCCAAGGAGGAGGCGGGGCUUAGGAUUUUGGAAGCCGAGGGAGGCGGGUUCCACACCGGGUCUAAUCGGGUGUCUGAACCGGCCUCUGCCUGCGCAUGCGCAGUGCGAACCUUCCGCUGCUCUGCUUUCUCCAACAUGGAAUUCCGCGCGGCGCGGCUCGCAGUACUGCAACUGCUCCGUACGGUGGCUCCGGCAGACCUCCCAGCGCUUCUGCAAUGGAUGCGAACUACCCGAGAUUUUGAUGAAUUCACUCAAGACAAUAAUGACAUUAUGUUGAAAAGCAUAGCAGAAGACCUUCGGAAUUGCUUACCUCUACAAACUAUGCUUUCCUCAGAACAUCUAGCCCUCCAAAAAAUACAGCAGCAGCCAGAACCCACAGUUCACGUUGAUGCAUUCCUUUAUGAUGAAGACUUUAUUGAUUCAUUAUGUGAGGAAGGAAAAAUGAGCCGAAAUUACUGUAUGGUGUGCGGCUCACAUCAGACGGCACCUCUAGGGUUUAUUUCUCAUUCCUUCUCUCUCAUGGAAUUGAAAUUCAUUUAUCGUCACGUACUCCCCGAUCUGUCAGGAAAGGUCUUGGUUGACGUUGGCUCCAGGCUUGGCACCGUCCUUUAUGGGGGUUAUCUUUACAGUUCAGCAUCACAACUGUAUGGAGUAGAACUGAAUGGAGACUUUUGCCAGUUGCAGGAAAUGGUCAUAAAAAAGUAUCAGUUCACUGACAGAAUAAAGGUGCUUCAUGCAGACAUUUGUACACAAGGUUCACUUCUGCAGAAUGCUGAUGUUGUUAUAAUGAAUAAUGUCUUCGAAUAUUUUCUUAAUGAGGCAGAACAGGCCAGAGCCUGGGAAUAUAUCUGCCAUAACGUAAGGAAGCAAGGGUCGUUGUUAGUGACAGUGCCAGGUCUGGAAGAUUCUCUCUCAGGUCUUCAGGUAUGUAAGCUUCUUUCCCAGCAUUUUUAUUGUCAAAACUUUUACCCUGCUUUUUUCUGCUAGCUGUUACACGCUGUCCUAGAAAUGUUCAGUCUGAACACAGUGACAACACUAGAAAGAGUAGCAAAACCUUGUGGCUUAAGAACUGUUUUGUGGUUUGUUCACAUUCCUCCAGAGCUCUAAGAGUGUCAUUCGGAUCCUGAUCUAGAUUCCUUUGCUUCUCCACCCAAUUUUUCUAACUGUGGAGUUACAGUUUUAGGUUAACAAAUGCUAUUAAAUAUUUGUAAGAGACUUAAAAACACCCACAUCAUAACUUUUUCUCCAGUAAGUGGGCUGGAGGCCACAUCCUGAACACAGUUUAGCUUCUAGGUCAGUUUGGAAUCUUGCUCAAGCUGCUUCUAUAUUCCUCAGAUUCUCCAUACAAAAUAAGGUUGAUACUUAAUAAUAAGAUUCAUCACGAUAAAUUGACUCUUUUAUAAAGGUUAAUUAAUAUUUGUAAAGCUCUUUGAGACCCCUCAAUGAGAUACUGUAGCAUUUCUUAAUACAGAAUCAUAUUAUCAUUUUCUUUCAUAAUGCUUUCGUUUUGUAUAACCUACUGCCAAAUUUAAGUAUCUUAUUUCUUCCUUUAAGAAAUUAAACUAUCAUGAAUAAUACCUUCUUCAAAAAUUGUUGUCAGUCAUCUAAAUUACAGUCGUGUUUACCAUAACAGGAGAAAUAAUCCAAAGAUACAUUGAAGACAUGAUGGUAAUCUCCCCAGUUCCCUCCCCUUGAGAUCCCUACCCCGUGAGUGGUUAAUAUACAGUUAUCUCCUUGGGUUGAAGAGAUACCUCUGAACUAUGAUGUAUUCCCAGAAAAGGAUAUUGACAGAGAAGCUCUUGAACAAAUACAUUUAUACAAGAUUCUCUGAAACUAAAAUAGUCCUGCCUUGGUGUAAAAUAAUUACAAAAUAAUUUAAAAGAAACAGAAUUUCAUAUCCUAACACACAUUAUUUCCUGUGUAUUCCUUUCUAGUGUUUGUACGUAUGCUUGCAUAUUUGUAAAUAGUUGUAUGUAUGUAUAUACAACUUUGUGUGAUAAUUAUAUUAAAAUUUCAUCUGAAAAAAAGGUU